rnacentral:rRNA from 1 species
CGCUGGCGGCGUGCCUAAUACAUGCAAGUCGAACGCACUCUCGUUUAGAUUGAAGGAGCUUGCUCCUGAUUGAUAAACAUUUGAGUGAGUGGCGGACGGGUGAGUAACACGUGGGUAACCUGCCCUAAAGUGGGGGAUAACAUUUGGAAACAGAUGCUAAUACCGCAUAAAACCUAACACCGCAUGGUGUAGGGUUGAAAGAUGGUUUCGGCUAUCACUUUAGGAUGGACCCGCGGUGCAUUAGUUAGUUGGUGAGGUAAAGGCUCACCAAGACCGUGAUGCAUAGCCGACCUGAGAGGGUAAUCGGCCACACUGGGACUGAGACACGGCCCCAGACUCCUACGGGAGGCAGCAGUAGGGAAUCUUCCACAAUGGACGAAAGUCUGAUGGAGCAACGCCGCGUGAGUGAAGAAGGUUUUCGGAUCGUAAAACUCUGUUGUUGGAGAAGAAUGUAUCUGAUAGUAACUGAUCAGGUAGUGACGGUAUCCAACCAGAAAGCCACGGCUAACUACGUG